ACGCUCGACACCUACGGGAGCAGCAGUGGGGAAUAUUGCACAAUGGGGGAAACCCGUGAUGCAGCGACGCCGCGUGGAGGAAGAAGGUCUUCGGAUUGUAAACUCCUGUUGUUGGGGAAAAAGAGGAUGGUACCCAACAAGGAAGUGACGGCUAACUACGUGGCAGCAGCCGCGGUAAUCUGAGCGGGCUGGCAAGGC
rnacentral:rRNA from 1 species